rnacentral:rRNA from 1 species
UGGCGGACGGGUGAGUAACGCGUGGAUAACCUGCCCCAUACAGGGGGAUAACAGUUAGAAAUGACUGCUAAUACCGCAUAAGACCACGGCACCGCAUGGUGCAGGGGUAAAAACUCCGGUGGUAUGGGAUGGAUCCGCGUCUGAUUAGCUUGUUGGCGGGGUAACGGCCCACCAAGGCGACGAUCAGUAGCCGGCCUGAGAGGGCGACCGGCCACAUUGGGACUGAGACACGGCCCAAACUCCUACGGAAGGCAGCAG